GACAAGUUAUGAAAAACUACCGGAAAAAAGGAUGCUUAGUUUAAAUGUUUGCUUACAAACCUUAUGAAUAGGACCUACAUAUUGACCUGUGAAUUGGUUAAAAAACUUCUCCCGGUCGUCAGUCGAAAUGGGCUCAUCACAGGCAUAGCACUCUCCAUGUUCCUGAUAGUCCUCAUCCCAAAUGUUGAACUCGUAGAUUGGUUUUUUAGCGGAUUUCCAGUACUUCUCAUAAAGUC
rnacentral:lncRNA from 1 species